GGUUGAGCUUGCCUAGCCGCCCUUCUUUCUGGGGGGUGGAGAUCCGAUCCAGCCCAAGGAGCAAGCUCCUCACCUGAGAGGGCUUGUACAGCCAUCAGGGUCAGAGUCCUACUCACCUGUGGUCCUCUACAUCUGCUGACUUUUCUCCACUCUAAAACUGCUGAUCAGAGGGUGCAGAGUCCUUGGACAGAGCACUGAACCGGAAGUUCUGCUUAUGUACUUACACCCGAGAGGAGCCUCCGCCGAUUUGAAAGGAUAGCCAUAAAGGUGGUUGCAGAAGAAGAAGGUGGGAGGAGAUCCCAGCUUGUUGAAGUGCUUUCACUAAGCAGUGGUAGCAAUUUGAAAUGACAGGAGAUUGAAGUCUGAGAGGCUGAUGUCAUCAAGAAAGAACUAUAACGCCUGAGAAGGGAAAGUCAAAGGACUGUUCACCAUUUUCCACUGGAGAGGUUGAGGAGCCUCCUUUGGCAGUUGUGAUGAGGUGGAAUGAAAGUACCUUGGAGAGAAUGUACAGCAUAUAUCGACAUUCCAUGACUGAUUCCAGUUUGUUUACCACAUGUUUUCAAGAAGCCUUUUAAAAUUGAUUGGUCACAGGAGGCAGAGACAAGAUGGCAGAGUAGAGGGAGCAUUCCAGCUUAACUCUCUCAACAUUCUCCUCCAAUAAACUGUAAAAUAAUAUAUCAAAUCAAACUCUGGAGCAGCAUAUCCAACAAAAGGUCAGGGGAAAAUUAUUCUUCCAGGUCAAGACAACAUAGGACAAGUCACUUAACCUCAAUUGCCUUGCCAAAAAAAAAAAAGUAAGUUCC